GAUGAACGCUGGCGGCGUGCUUAACACAUGCAAGUCGAACGAGCAAGCCCAGUUUGCUGGGUGGGUUAGUGGCGAACGAGUGAGUAACACGAGAGUAAUCUGCCCUUACCUCUGGGAUAAUCCCGGGUAACUAGGGCUAAUACCAGGUAGGAGGGCCCACGGCACGGAGGGGGUUGGACGGGUUUCUCGGUUUUGGAUGGGUUCGCGGGGGAUCUGCUUGUGGGUGAGGUCAUGGCGCACCACGGCGGCGGCAGGUAGCCGGCCUGAGAGGGUGACCGGCCACACUGGGACUGCGACACGGCCCAGACUCCUACGGGAGGCAGCAGUGGGGAAUAUUGCACAAUGGGCGCAAGCCUGAUGCAGCGACGCCGCGUGGGGGAUGGCGGCCUUCGGGUUGUAAACCUCUUUCAGUAGGGAAGAAGCGAAAGUGACGGUACCUGCAGAAGAAGCACCGGCUAACUACGUG
rnacentral:rRNA from 1 species